CGGUGUUUCCUUCGAUGCAUCUACCACGAAACUGGACUAAACGGACGUUGACCUUUGUUUCUUUCGGACAAAGAAUUGUUCGAUUUAUCUCUUGUGCUGCGAAAAAUGCAUAGAUUAGACGAACGUUCGCGAAAACGCAAAGAAGAAUCGCUGUUAUUGAUAAAAAUUUUCUGUUUCAGGAGAAGCAGCCGUGCUUUCGACAUCCAAAUUAUUUCGAAAGAACAGCGUGUCUCUUUGAAGGAAGCAUUCUCCGUAAUGGCUAAAGUCCCACGAACGAUUCGCGAGUCAGACGCCAAGGGACGUGCAUAAAAAACUGUCUUCAAGGCUGAUGGAGUUGCGUGUCAGGUGUGAAAUGCAGCCUUCGAUGUUCUCGAGCAUCAACGAUCGGAUUUGGUACUGAGCGAGGAACGUGUAGACGAUCACCCAGAUGACUAGAGCGACGAUCACCGAGAUCAGGAAGAUCGUCUUGAGAAAAUGCCAGGGACUUUCCAAACGUGAUUCCACGGGGCUGGACAG